rnacentral:rRNA from 1 species
UACGGGGGGAGCAAGCGUUGUUCGGAUUUACUGGGCGUAAAGGGCGCGUAGGCGGCCAGCGCAAGUCGGUUGUGAAAUCUCCGGGCUUAACUCGGAAAGGUCAACUGAUACUGUGCGACUAGAGUGCGGAAGGGGCAACUGGAAUUCUCGGUGUAGCGGUGAAAUGCGUAGAUAUCGAGAGGAACACCUGCGGCGAAGGCGGGUUGCUGGGCCGACACUGACGCUGAUGCGCGAAAGCCAGGGGAGCGAACGGG